CAGCAGCCGCGGGAAUACGAAGGGUGCAAGCGUUAAUCGGAAUUACUGGGCGUAAAGCGUGCGUAGGCGGUUUGUUAAGUCUGUUGUGAAAUCCCCGGGCUCAACCUGGGAAUGGCAAUGGAUACUGGCAAGCUAGAGUGUGUCAGAGGAUGGUGGAAUUUCCGGUGUAGCAGUGAAAUGCGUAGAGAUCGGGAGGAACAUCUGUGGCGAAGGCGACUAUCUGGGCCAACACUGACACUGAGGCACGAAAGCGUGGGGAGCAAACAGGAUUAGAUACCCGCGUAGUCCCUGUCUCUUAUAA
rnacentral:rRNA from 1 species